rnacentral:lncRNA from 1 species
AGAUGCUGUGCUCCUAUGGUUUUGCACACCCUUUCUUCCACCAGGAACUUCCUUCCUCUCUGCUUUUGCCUAAGAGAACCCCCAGUCAGCCCUCAGGUGCUCACUCCUAUGGGAACCUGUGACAAUUUGGAGUCUUGACAAUUUAGAACAGCCGGAUUACAUUUCUCAGAAUUCUCUUCCUUGCAUAGUUCCAGGUUAGCCUGGACCACAAGAGAGAUUUUACACGAAAUGCAGAAAGCAGCUCUUUUUUUUUCAUGCUUCACCGUCAGUGUGGGCAUGGGGCCCUGCUAUAGCUGUUAUUGUUGGUCCUCUGGCUCAGGGGGUGGCAUGGGGCAGCAGCUAGGCCCACAGCGCUCACAUUCCUGCUGGGUCUCCUCCUCAGCUCCUCAGUCCUGGGCCUGUGAUGUGUGGAGCUCCUGAGGAAGGACGUCAACAACUCCUGCAGGCCCUCUGCACCCGCAAAGCUGAAGCCUCGCUUGGAGACGGUGACUGAUGGCAUGGGUGUCAGCCCACCCUGGCAGGGUGGACUUUGUCCUUGCUCUCUUCACUUUGCAGGCAUUGUUUUUGCUGAACUGCCUGCCCUGCUGACUUCAGGCUGUACCACCUGACACAGAAGGAACAGCCUCACCUGGCCUGUGCAGCCAGCACGGGCUGUGAUGCAUGAGAGAGAGAAUAAACAGCAGCCACCUCCGUACAUUAAACAAUUCCUGGCAGCAGCACCUGUCCCCAGCCAUCCCAGCAAGAACACACACAGCCUGCCACCGGCAAAGGACACAGGGCAGACGUGCGGACUCAAGCUGUGUCC